rnacentral:rRNA from 1 species
UACGUAGGGUCCGAGCGUUGUCCGGAAUUACUGGGCGUAAAGGGCGCGUAGGCGGCCCGCUAAGUCGAACGUGAAAUCCCCGGGCUCAACCCGGGAACUGCGUCCGAUACUGGCAGGCUUGAAUCCGGGAGAGGGAUGCGGAAUUCCAGGUGUAGCGGUGAAAUGCGUAGAUAUCUGGAGGAACACCGGUGGCGAAGGCGGCAUCCUGGACCGGCAUUGACGCUGAGGCGCGAAAGCCAGGGGAGCAAACGGG